rnacentral:tRNA from 1 species
UAUAUUUGAGUAUGGGAUGUACAUGAGUUUUUGAUAUUCAUAGGGGUGGUUUAAUUCCACUAAAUAUAA